AAGGGCACUAUUUGAGAUACACAUGCGGCAGAUGCUAGAUGAUACUAACACGUCGCAUUGCUGAAUACUCCUUGAUACGAGUAAUAAUAAUAAACAAGAAAGGAAAGGCAUGUUCCCUUGAUUGCCGUCUAAAACACAAAGGUAGGCAGGCAGAGAUUGUGGGAAUAUAUGGUGCCAGGUCCUCAGAUUUUCAGUAGGUUGGAUGGACGCCAAGCUGGAUCCGUCGCAUUCGCCACCCCUGCAACGCCUGCCAGGCCAAGUCUCCACAGCAUCAAAUCCUGCAUAUAUUGUAUUCGUCCAUAUAUUAUACCCCAUAUAUUAAACAUAAUGUGCUGAAGCUAAUGCAUAUAUUGUACUCCUUGUAAACCUCUGGGGUUUCAGUUAGCCUUUGAACUCGAACAACCGGCGUCUUGGGUAGA
rnacentral:lncRNA from 1 species